CCUACGGUAGGCAGCAGUGGGGGAUAUUGCACAAUGGGGGGAACCCUGAUGCAGCGACGCCGCGUGGGUGAAGGAGCGUUUCGGCGCGUAAAGCCCUAUCGGCAGGGAAGAAGGAGGACGGUACCUGACUAAGAAGCCCCGGCUAACUACGUGCCAGCAGCCGCGGUAAUACGUAGGGGGCAAGCGUUAUCCGGAUUUACUGGGUGUAAAGGGGGCGCAGACGGCAGCGCAAGCCAGGAUUGAAAGCCCGGUGCCCAACCCCCGGACUGCUCUUGGAACUGCGCGGCUGGAGUGCAGGAGGGGGAGGCGGAAUGCCUGGGGUAGGGGGGAAAUGGGUAGAUAUCCGGAGGAAGAAUGGUGGCGAAGGAGGCCGGCUGGACUGCGACUGACGUGGAGGCCCGAAAUCGUGGGGAGCAAACAGGAUUAGAGACCCUGGGAGUC
rnacentral:rRNA from 1 species